rnacentral:rRNA from 1 species
AACGAACGCUGGCGGCAGGCUUAACACAUGCAAGUCGAGCGCAGGAAGCUGACGGAACUCUUCGGAGGGAAGGCAGUGGAAUGAGCGGCGGACGGGUGAGUAACACGCAAGGAACCUGCCUCAAGGAUUGGGAUAACUCCGAGAAAUCGGAGCUAAUACCGGAUAGUUCAACGGACCGCAUGGUCCGCUGAUGAAAGCCGCUUCGGCGUCACCUUGAGAUGGCCUUGCGGUGCAUUGGCUAGGUGGUGGGGUAACGGCCCACCAAGGCGACGAUGCAUAGCAGGACUGAGAGGGUGAUAGGCCACACGGGGACUGGGACAAGGCCCAGACUCCUACGGGAGGCAGCAGUAGGGAAUCUUCCACAAUGGACGAAAGUCUGAUGGAGCAACGCCGCGUGAGUGAUGAAGGUUUUCGGAUCGUAAAACUCUGUUGUAAGGGAAGAACACGUACGAGAGGGAAUGCUCGUACCUUGACGGUACCUUACGAGAAAGCCACGGCUAACUACGUGCCAGCCGCCGCAGUAAGAC